rnacentral:miRNA from 1 species
GAGAUUUCUGGGAGCUGUAGUUUGCUAAGGGUGCUGAGAGUCUUUGAGGGCGCCCUUAACAAACUACAGCUCCCAGGAUUCUU